AUACAACAACAACAACUCUUGAAUGGGAAUCAGCAAAUCACGCCUGAGCAAUUUCAGGGACAGUCCAUCUGGAAUGGGCGUUAUAUCGUGUGAGGUUGGUGUUAAGCAUGGAUGUUAAGAUGAGAAGGUUCUGAACGCUCGCUGUGGAUGCCUAUGGGGUUUUAUGGGCUUUCCAUUUGGAAGUUGUUUUGAACUAAUCUCUUUUUCUUAAGGGUCUAAGAAUCACUUCGGUGAAUGUGCGGCGUUCUUUUGGUGCCAAGUAUGCGCUCCAACUUUGCAUCCUCUAUCAAAUAUAAAAUUUCACUUUUUGUUGGAGGGUGGUGGCCUUGGCUCCUUGCUGGCUCUUGCCAUUGGACAGGUAUGCAAUAUUUGAUUUAGUCUGUGGUGCAUAGUGCAAAAUGAUAUUGUAGGAUUAGGAUUUACAUUUGGGAAAUUAAUGUGGGUAUACACGGUGGUUGGUUUCUAUUUUAGCUUUGUUGUUGUAACUGGUUCCAAAUGCACAAAAGGAAUAGACACUUGCAUUGCUCCUGCUUCGAUGUGUUGGUAUUGUAAUGGUUGUAAUGGUAGAAUGAAAUAUGGGUUAUAUUAAUGUUGUGCUGUUAUGGGGUUGGUGCAGAUUCCGUGGAUGGAUCUACUGCUAUGCUAUGAGAAGAGGCAACACUUGAGAGAAGUAAAAACUCGGUAAUUGGCAGAAUUGGAAAUGAGAUGUGUGCUGUUGUGAGAGGUGAUGGUAUGAUGAUCAUCAGUGGAAGUGAGGGUGGAAUGAAUGAAGAAAGAAGGUGGAGCGGAAUCCAUGGCAUGUAGCCUUUGAGAGAGCUUUAUUAAAUCCUGGAUGGGCGGGGGGGGGGUUGGUUGCUUGCUUAGUAGGGUAGAAAAAGGUCCUCUGUUUGAGAAGUCUGUCUGUAAGCCGAGCCAACAUGGUAAUGUCAUUGUUGAGGUUGAAGCUUCUUCUUGUACGGUGUAUUCCGGAGUUUGAUGUUAUGUUUGAGGGAGAUUAUGCAUGAUAAGUAGUAGGGUAUUUUGCAUUUUGAAUUGGAUUUAGGGAAGUCGUUGUGGGAGGUACGGGAGAGUGUAGUGCUUGAAUAAAGAUAGAUGUCAGGGAGAUGAGAUGAGAUGCUUCUUCUCUCUUCUGGUCUCUGCAGUGUCAUUGACUUGUUGGGUCUACUUUUCCUUUCUUAUAUAUAUAUAUAUAUUUGGUAUUUUUAUUUACUGGUUUAUAUUUUUAUAUAAUUCGCUCGCUGGUUCUUUCCGAUUCC
rnacentral:lncRNA from 1 species